rnacentral:rRNA from 1 species
AGUGAACGCUGGCGGUAGGCCUAACACAUGCCAGUCGAACGGCAGCACAGUAAGAGCUUGCUCUUACGGGUGGCGAGUGGCGGACGGGUGAGGAACACAUCGGAAUCUACUUUUUCGUGGGGGAUAACGUAGGGAAACUUACGCUAAUACCGCAUACGACCUACGGGUGAAAGCAGGGGAUCUUCGGACCUUGCGCGAUUGAAUGAGCCGAUGUCGGAUUAGCUAGUUGGCGGGGUAAAGGCCCACCAAGGCGACGAUCCGUAGCUGGUCUGAGAGGAUGAUCAGCCACACUGGAACUGAGACACGGUCCAGACUCCUACGGGAGGCAGCAGUGGGGAAUAUUGGACAAUGGGCGCAAGCCUGAUCCAGCCAUACCGCGUGGGUGAAGAAGGCCUUCGGGUUGUAAAGCCCUUUUGUUGGGAAAGAAAAGCAGCAGGUUAAUACCCCGCUGUUCUGACGGUACCCAAAGAAUAAGCACCGGCUAACUUCGUG